rnacentral:lncRNA from 1 species
AUUAAUGAAAUCACAUGCCUUUGAUCUUUAACUACCCAUCUGAGAUCCCAAACUUAAAUCAAUCAGCAGAAAUUAGAACAUUUAAUAAUCUGGGUUUCAAAGAAUUAUGAAUAUCCCAACAGAAUCAUCAAUUAAUUGCAAUAAGAGUACCUGUUCAGCAUAAAUGGCUUAUUAGUCGUGUCGCCGACAGCCAAAAAUUAGGAUUUUGAUUCAAGAAAUUUCUAAAUCGACGCUAAAUAAAAACGUAAUAAUCCACUUAGAGACAAAAUCAAAUGAACAAACAUCAGUUCUGCGAAUAUUGAAAUUAGAAACUAAUUGGACUCUAGAAUUACAGGUCAGAAAACAGGAUGCAUAGUAAUUUCCCCCAUUUCCUCCGUACACCUUAUUAGCCAACUUUGGUGUCAAAUCAAUCUCCAUCCCUCUCUGUAUUUUUUGCUUUUAUCUCUCUUCUUUUCUCUCUCUCUAAUCCUGCGCAAGAAAAACCCCAAUAUCACAAAAAUUUUAUUCCGAAUCAAGAAAAAAACAGCAAAGUAUGUUAAUUUGUUAGAGAUUUAGAAAAAAAAGGGAUGAUUUCUGCCACCUGCGAGUACAAAGCAACUGUUUUCCAGUGUAGGUGGGGUAUAGGCACAUGAGAAAGAGGCCAUGGACGGAUCGUGUCGGGAUAAGCCAGGGAUGCGCCCUCAAGCUAUCGAGGUUCAUCAAUAUUUGCUACUCUAUUCGUCUCUCUCU